rnacentral:rRNA from 1 species
GACGAACGCUGGCGGCGUGCCUAAUACAUGCAAGUCGAGCGGACGAAUCGAAAGCUUGCUUUUGAUUCGUUAGCGGCGGACGGGUGAGUAACACGUGGGCAACCUGCCCUGUAGACGGGGAUAACACCGAGAAAUCGGUGCUAAUACCGGAUAACACGAAAUGUCGCAUGACGUUUCGUUGAAAGACGGCGCAAGCUGCCGCUACAGGAUGGGCCCGCGGCGCAUUAGCUAGUUGGUGAGGUAACGGCUCGCCAAGGCGACGAUACGUAGCCGACCUGAGAGGGUGAUCGGCCACACUGGGACUGAGACACGGCCCAGACUCCUACGGGAGGCAGCAGUAGGGAAUCUUCCGCAAUGGACGAAAGUCUGACGGAGCAACGCCGCGUGAGCGAAGAAGGCCUUCGGGUCGUAAAGCUCUGUUGUUAGGGAAGAACAAGUAACGCAGUAACUGGCGUUACCGUGACGGUACCUAACGAGAAAGCCACGGCUAACUACGUG